GGGUUGUGAGGUUAAGCGAAUAAGCGUACACGGUGGAUGCCUAGGCAAUCAGAGGCGAUGAAGGACGUGCUAAUCUGCGAAAAGCGUCGGUAAGGUGAUAUGAACCGUUAUACCCGACGAUAUCCGAAUGGGGAAACCCAGUAUCCAAUGGAUACUAUCAUUAACUGAAUCCAUAGGUUAAUGAGGCGAACCGGGAGAACUGAAACAUCUCAGUACCCCGAGGAAAAGAAAUCAACCGAGAUUCCCCUAGUAGCGGCGAGCGAACGGGGAGCAGCCCAGAGUCUUAAUCAAUAGCAGUGUCAGGAGAACGGUCUGGAAAGUCCGGCAGUAAAGGGUGAUAGCCCCGUAUCUGAAGAUGCUGUUAUUGUGAACUCGAUGAGUAGGGCGGGACACGUGUUAUCCUGUCUGAAUAUGGGGGGACCAUCCUCCAAGGCUAAAUACUCCUGAUUGACCGAUAGUGAACCAGUACCGUGAGGGAAAGGCGAAAAGAACCCCGGCGAGGGGAGUGAAAAAGAACCUGAAACCGUGUACGUACAAGCAGUAGGAGCCUCUUUAUGGGGUGACUGCGUACCUUUUGUAUAAUGGGUCAGCGACUUAUAUUCUGUAGCGAGGUUAACCGUAUAGGGGAGCCGUAGGGAAACCGAGUCUUAACUGGGCGAAUGAGUUGCAGGGUAUAGACCCGAAACCCGGUGAUCUAUCCAUGGGCAGGUUGAAGGUUGGGUAACACUAACUGGAGGACCGAACCGACUAAUGUUGAAAAAUUAGCGGAUGACUUGUGGAUGGGGGUGAAAGGCCAAUCAAACCGGGAGAUAGCUGGUUCUCCCCGAAAGCUAUUUAGGUAGCGCCUCGUGAACUCAUCUUCGGGGGUAGAGCACUGUUUCGACUAGGGGGUCAUCCCGACUUACCAACUCGAUGCAAACUGCGAAUACCGAAGAAUGUUAUCACGGGAGACACACGGCGGGUGCUAACGUCCGUCGUGAAGAGGGAAACAACCCAGACCGCCAGCUAAGGUCCCAAAGUCAUGGUUAAGUGGGAAACGAAGUGGGAAGGCUCAGACAGCCAGGAUGUUGGCUUAGAAGCAGCCAUCAUUUAAAGAAAGCGUAAUAGCUCACUGGUCGAGUCGGCCCGCGCGGAAGAUGUAACGGGGCUAAACCAUGCACCGAAGCUGCGGCAGCGACACAUAGUGUUGUUGGGUAGGGGAGCGUUCUGUAAGCCUGCGAAGGUGUACUGUGAGGUAUGCUGGAGGUAUCAGAAGUGCGAAUGCUGACAUAAGUAACGAUAAUGCGGGUGAAAAACCCGCACGCCGGAAGACCAAGGGUUCCUGUCCAACGUUAAUCGGGGCAGGGUGAGUCGACCCCUAAGGCGAGGCUGAAAAGCGUAGUCGAUGGGAAACGGGUUAAUAUUCCCGUACUGGUGGUAACUGCGAUGGGGGAACGGAGAAGGCUAGGUUGUCCGGGCGACGGUCGUCCCGGUUCAAGCAGGUAGGCAGAGUGAUUAGGCAAAUCCGGUCACUUAAUGCUGAGAUGUGAUGACGAACCACCAAGGUGGUGAAGCAAUUGAUGCCCCGCUUCCAGGAAAAGCCUCUAAGCUUCAGGUUACCAACAAUCGUACCCCAAACCGACACAGGUGGUCAGGUAGAGAAUACUCAGGCGCUUGAGAGAACUCGGGUGAAGGAACUAGGCAAAAUGGUGCCGUAACUUCGGGAGAAGGCACGCUGGCGGUAGGUAAAGUCCCUCGCGGACAGAGCUGAAGCCAGUCGAAGAUACCAGCUGGCUGCAACUGUUUAUUAAAAACACAGCACUGUGCAAACACGAAAGUGGACGUAUACGGUGUGACGCCUGCCCGGUGCUGGAAGGUUAAUUGAUGGGGUCAGCCGUAAGGCGAAGCUCCUGAUCGAAGCCCCAGUAAACGGCGGCCGUAACUAUAACGGUCCUAAGGUAGCGAAAUUCCUUGUCGGGUAAGUUCCGACCUGCACGAAUGGCGUAAUGAUGGCCAGGCUGUCUCCACCCGAGACUCAGUGAAAUUGAACUCGCUGUGAAGAUGCAGUGUACCCGCGGCAAGACGGAAAGACCCCGUGAACCUUUACUAUAGCUUGACACUGAACAUUGAGCCUUGAUGUGUAGGAUAGGUGGGAGGCUUUGAAGUGUGGACGCCAGUCUGCAUGGAGCCAACCUUGAAAUACCACCCUUUAACGUUUGAUGUUCUAACCUAGGCCCAUAAACUGGGUCGGGGACCGUGUCUGGUGGGUAGUUUGACUGGGGCGGUCUCCUCCUAAAGAGUAACGGAGGAGCACGAAGGUUGGCUAAGCAUGGUCGGACAUCAUGCGGUUAGUGCAAAGGCAUAAGCCAGCUUGACUGCGAGAGUGACGGCUCGAGCAGGUACGAAAGUAGGUCUUAGUGAUCCGGUGGUUCUGAAUGGAAGGGCCAUCGCUCAACGGAUAAAAGGUACUCCGGGGAUAACAGGCUGAUACCGCCCAAGAGUUCAUAUCGACGGCGGUGUUUGGCACCUCGAUGUCGGCUCAUCACAUCCUGGGGCUGAAGUAGGUCCCAAGGGUAUGGCUGUUCGCCAUUUAAAGUGGUACGCGAGCUGGGUUUAGAACGUCGUGAGACAGUUCGGUCCCUAUCUGCCGUGGGCGUUGGAAGAUUGAGAGGGGUUGCUCCUAGUACGAGAGGACCGGAGUGAACGCACCACUGGUGUUCGGGUUGUCAUGCCAAUGGCAUUGCCCGGUAGCUAAGUGCGGAAGAGAUAACCGCUGAAAGCAUCUAAGCGGGAAACUUGCCUCGAGAUGAGUCUUCCCUGUCGCUUUAAGCGACCUAAAGGAACGUUUAAGACUAAGACGUUGAUAGGCUGGGUGUGUAAGCGUAGCGAUACGUUGAGCUAACCAGUACUAAUGAACCGUGAGGCUUAACCUGACAACACCGAAAGUGUUUUG
rnacentral:rRNA from 1 species